rnacentral:tRNA from 1 species
GGAGAGAUGGCCGAGUUGGCUGAAGGCGCUCCCCUGCUAAGGGAGUAUGGGGCAAAAAGAAAGCUCUAUCGAGGGUUCGAAUCCCUCUCUCUCCGCCA